rnacentral:rRNA from 1 species
AGUGAACGCUGGCGGUAGGCCUAACACAUGCAAGUCGAACGGCAGCACAGUAAGAGCUUGCUCUUACGGGUGGCGAGUGGCGGACGGGUGAGGAAUACAUCGGAAUCUACUUUUUCGUGGGGGAUAACGUAGGGAAACUUACGCUAAUACCGCAUACGACCUACGGGUGAAAGCAGGGGAUCUUCGGACCUUGCGCGAUUGAAUGAGCCGAUGUCGGAUUAGAUAGUUGGCGGGGUAAAGGCCCACCAAGGCGACGAUCCGUAGCUGGUCUGAGAGGAUGAUCAGCCACACUGGAACUGAGACACGUUCCAGACUCCUACGGGAGGCAGCAGUGGGGAAUAUUGGACAAUGGGCGCAAGCCUGAUCCAGCCAUACCGCGUGGGUGAAGAAGGCCUUCUGGUUGUAAAGCCCUUUUGUUGGGAAAGAAAAGCAGCAGGUUAAUACCCCGCUGUUCUGACGGUACCCAAAGAAUAAGCACCGGCUAACUUCGUG